rnacentral:lncRNA from 1 species
GCGACGGUAGCAAACUCAUCUACACAAGAUCAGCGACGCAGAUAGGGAUUCACGAUGCUUGCCGACACAAACUCCACAGAAAUUGAUGGCUACCACGAUGAAGUGAUCCGCCAGGUGAGUCCCAAAACUAAGAAUCGAGCCUUUCUAUGGAAGCACAGAAAAUUUUCUAGCCAGAAGUGUCCUCUUAGAUCGAGGGCUCUUGUACCGUGACAAAACAAAUUGAUUUCAGUUUGAAUGCCUCUCAAUUUGAGUGUUGCUUCCAUUAAAUAGAUGAAAUUUGGCCAAUUAUAAGGCUGUAAAUCAGUCGUUACAUAUUUCUUGCAUAAUCCUUGCUAUCUAUGUAUGGAAUUCUUGCUGCCUAUGUACACAAUUACACGGAAAUUACACGGGAUUAUAUCCUACUAAUAACCUAAACUAUCCAAUGGAAUUAAUCAGACUUCCGUAGAACUAUCUGUAUUUUAGAUCUAUGCUUUCAACAUGACCUCUCAUUUCCAAGCUUGAAUUCCUUAGGAUAAACAUGUGCUAUUAUUGCAACGGGUUGGUGGAGACAUCCAGGAACUCUGCAUAUUUGUUCUACAUUUCUCUUUCAACAUUUUUUCAGAAUCUCAUUUUCAAUAAAUUGUAACCCUAACAACAAACUAAGACUUUUUCCCAGUAAAUUUGGGGUUGGCUGCCAAAGAAGUGAAGAAUCAGUGAGUUGGACAAGGUUCCCUGGAAUCAUUUUUUGCCAUUGUCUUCUAUCCAUCAUCAGAUCUUUGUAAGAUCAAAUGAAAACAAAUCUUUCACAACCACAUCAACACCAUGUUAACUUUGGUCUACAUAUCUUUCAUCUAAAAUGUUCUAUUAGGUAUCACUCUUAUAGGUAGGAGCUUCUUUAAAUCUAUUAUAAAAUAUGUUCAAACUAACUAUGUCGUCCUUCCAUGAAUUUGUCCAUAUUGGUGCCACCUGUCAAUCAGGACAUAUAUUAGGCAAAAUUAAACAAUUUACUUAUGGUAUGAUUGUAAUACACAUAUAUAGACAUUAUUGUAUAGUGUAACAGCUUCCAUAAUCAUUAGCCUAGAUUGAGAAUAAUCGCUGAAAAAUCAGCAUGUAACAAGGAACAUAAUUACCUAUGAUCCUCAAUUUAAACAG